UGAGGAAUAUUCCACAAUGGGCGAAAGCCUGAUGGAGCAAUGCCGCGUGCAGGAUGAAGGCCCUCGGGUCGUAAACUGCUUUUAUUAGAGAAGAAUAUGACGGUAACUAAUGAAUAAGGGACGGCUAACUACGUGCCAGCAGCCGCGGUCAUACGUAGGUCCCAAGCGUUAUCCGGAGUGACUGGGCGUAAAGAGUUGCGUAGGCGGCUAAGUAAGCGAGUAAUGAAAACUAUCGGCUCAACCGGUAGCCUGUUAUUCGAACUGCUUGGCUCGAGAUUAUCAGAGGUCGCUGGAAUUCCUAGUGUAGCAGUGAAAUGCGUAGAUAUUAGGAAGAACACCAAUGGCGUAGGCAGGCGACUGGGGUAUUUCUGACGCUAAGGCACGAAAGCGUGGGGAGCGAACCGGAUUAGAUACCCGGGUAGUCCACGCCGUAAACGAUGGAUGCUAAUUGUUCGGGGUAUCGACCCCUUGAGUAAUAAAGCUAACGCGUUAAGCAUCCCGCCUGUGGAGUACGGCCGCAAGGCUAAAACAUAAAGGAAUUGACGGGGACCCGCACAAGCGGUGGAGGAUGUUCUUUAAUUCGAUGAUAAGCGAAGAACCUUACCAGGGCUUGACAUCCCUAGAAUUUCUCCGAAAGGAGAGAGUGCUUUUUAAGAACUAGGUGACAGAUCCUGCAUGGCCGUCGUCAGCUCGUGUCGUGAGAUGUUUGGUUAAGUCCAUCAACGAGCGCAACCCUUAUCGUUAGUUGUAUUUUUCUAACGAGACUGCCCCGGUAACGGGGAGGAAGGAGGGGAUGAUGUCAGGUCAGUAUUGGUCUUACGUCCUGGGCUAGAAACGUCCUACAAUGGCUAGUACAAUGGGCAGCGAAUCCGCGAGGUGAAGCAAAUCCCAUCAAAGCUA
rnacentral:rRNA from 1 species